UACUGAGAGGUAAAGUGAAAGGUAUUGGUUAAAAAUACUUAAGUAGUAAGUUUGAUUUGAGGAAUAAUUUGUAUUAAUAAAGGGUGAAAUCAAUUUUUUAAUGUAUAAUUGAUUUUUUGAGUUAAAAUUUAUUGAAGUUGUUAAGGUUAAGGUAUGGACCAGGAUUAGAUACCCUGUUACACUUUGCUUAAAAUUAGAUACCUAGGUAGUAAGCAGUUAUGGUCUUGAAACUUAAAGGAUUUGGCGGUAACUUAGUCUAGUUAGAGGAACCUGUCCUGUAAUCGAUAUACCACGAAGAAUCUUACUUUAUUUUGAAAUGUUCAGUUUAUAUACCGUCAUUAUUAGAUAACUUUAAUAAAAUGGAAGUUGUUGAAAUAAUCUUAAGUUAGUAUAUUAGAUCAAGGUGUAGCUUAUAAUAAAGAAGAGAUGGGUUACAAUAAUAUUAGUUUAUACGAAUAAAAGAAAGAAUUAUUUUUUUGAAGGAGGAUUUAAAUGUAAAAUUAUUUUAAUAUGAUAGUUUGAUUUUAGCUCUAGGUUAUGUACACAUCGCCCGUCGCUCUCGUUAUAUAAAGC
rnacentral:rRNA from 1 species